CGGAGCGUAGCGCAGCCCGGUUAGCGCACUAGUCUGGGAGACUAGGGGUCGGAGGUUCGAAUCCUCUCGCUCCGACCA
rnacentral:tRNA from 9 species